CGUGUGUUUGUAUCAGUUUGUUCUGUGCUGCGCGUGGAUGUGGGCGGGUGUGGUGGUGCCCUGUGUCGUGGUGGGACGUCAGAGUCAGUUCGUAUGCCGCGGGAAAUGGUCGUGCAGGAGGUAGGUCGUGAGUUCGCUUUCGGCUAUUAUAUCUGUGCGUGCUAGUGGUCGUGGUUGGGACUGAGGUGCCUACAACGUGCUUUUGAGUCUUUGGGUCGCUCUGUGUGCGUGUCGGUUGGAUAGCUUGCUAUGCUGCUGGCAUUUGUGUGCGGAUGGUGUGCUCAUUGCAACUUGUUGCCGUUCGGGACUUUGACGAAAUGGCGCGAUCCGACCCGUCUUGAAACACGGACCAAGGAGUCUAACAUGUGUGCAAGUGUUAGGGUGUGGAAACCCAAGCGCGAAAUGAAAGUAAAGGACAGCGUUGGUUGUCUGAGGUAGGAAACCUUUGUUUUUUGGCAGGGGUGGCACUAUCGACCGAUCAUGAACCUUCGUGGUGAAAGAUUUGAGUAUGAGCACAUAUGUUGGUACCCGAAAGAUGGUGAACUAUGCCUGAGUAGGGUGAAGCCAGGGGAAACUCUGGUGGAAGCUCGUAGCGAUUCUGACGUGCAAAUCGAUCGUCAAACUUGGGUAUAGGGGCGAAAGACUAAUCGAACCAUCUAGUAGCUGGUUCCCUCCGAAAUUUCCCUCAGGAUAGCAGCAACUUAUUUACGAUAGUUUUAUGAGGUAAAGCGAAUGAUUAGAGGACUCGGGGAAGAAACUUCCUUGACCUAUUCUCAAACUUUAAAUCUGUAAGACCUGCAGGUUUCUUAAUUGAACUUGCGGA
rnacentral:rRNA from 1 species